GGCCGACAAGAACAGUUUCGAAUCGGCC
rnacentral:misc_RNA from 1 species